rnacentral:miRNA from 1 species
UUGGUCACUUGCUUUAUUCACUC